rnacentral:lncRNA from 1 species
GAACCCAUUCUCUUUGGUCGCGAGACCAUGUUCUUUCCCAGGUUUACUCUGAGCGUUUCCUUUCCCUCUUUUGGGAUAAAUAACGCACGGUGGCGGCUCUGUUGUUUCUUGUUUUCCCGCCGGUUUUUCGCGUGAUGCGACACCUUCCCUUCGCAUAAUCGACUUCUGAACCCAAGAUUUGGUUGCAAGACCUUAUCUUUUCCUUUCCUUUUUCCAAGUUUACUUCGAG